ensembl:lncRNA
GGGGAGGAGGAGGAGCAGUGGGAGGAAGAGGGGGAGGUGAUAUAGGAGGAGGGGGAAGGGGAGGGUAUAAUCACUGGACGACCCAGCAGAGACCUAGAACCACAGAGAGAGAGAGACAGGGGUUGGGGGAAAGAGAGAGUGUGUGUGUCUGCGCCUACAUGUGUGUUUGUGCAUGUGUGUCUGUGCAUAUGCGUGCGGGCGUGUGUGUGUGUGCGUGUCUGUGCGUAUGCAUGUAUGUGUGUGUGUAUCGUCGUAUGCAUGUCUGUGUGCGUGGGUGUGUGAACACUGAUGAUAAGAGAGUAUAGGGGGAGAGGGGACAGAUUGAUUUAUGGAUUAAACUCCGUCAGGGUUUGGGAUCAAAACUCAAGAAAGGGAGAGUGAUUUAGACAGAGUGAGAAGUUGUGAGGGAGUGAGAGACGGAGGAAGGUUAUGGGAGUGAAGUAGACCGCCUCAGAGCACAGGAUUCAAAGAGUGAGUGGUGCCCAGGUGUGGGGGCGUGUCUGGAUUAUGACCCAGGUGUGGGGGCGUGUCUGGAUUAUGACCCAGGUGUGGGGGGCAUCUGGAUGGACAGAGCAGCGUGUGGAUUAGCACCCCGUCCCAGGAUUACCACUGAGCCUGCCGGC